rnacentral:rRNA from 1 species
AUUGAACGCUGGCGGCAGGCCUAACACAUGCAAGUCGAACGAGUGGCGGACGGGUGAGUAAUGUCUGGGAAACUGCCCGAUGGAGGGGGAUAACUACUGGAAACGGUAGCUAAUACCGCAUACCAUCGGAUGUGCCCAGAUGGGAUUAGCUAGUAGGUGGGGUAACGGCUCACCUAGGCGACGAUCCCUAGCUGUUCUGAGAGGAUGACCGGCCAACCGGGAGCUGAGAAACGGUCCAGACUCCUCCGGAGGGAAGCAGUGGGGAAUUUUGCACAAUGGGCGCAAGCCUGAUGAAGCCAUGCCGCGUGUAUGAAUAAGGCUUUCGGGUUGUAAAGUACUUUCAGCGAGGAGGCGUUAAUCGCAGAAGAAGCAACGGCUAACUCCGUGCCAGCAGCCGCGGUAAUAC